AUGGUGGACACCCUCCCCAUUCUACUAAGACUGGUUGGCUUAAGCACUCAAACGUGGCCAUUUCCUGCGCGGCUCUGGGCAGUCUGCAGCUGCAUAGGCAGUUUAGUUUUGUAUUCUCAGGACCCCAGUUUCCUGAUAGUGUUCUACUCCAUUAGCCUCAAGAAGACCAAGUGAGAUUGCCUGGAUACCUGGGGAGGAUAGAAGACAUAUACAGGUAUGGGACGGGGCAAAAAGAGUCAUGUUAAGCAGGCUUUGUGGAAGUCUCAUGUGGUAAACAUGUUGAGAUUUUAAUUGUCAGAAGGUAGUCACAUAGACAUAUCAGCCACUAAGGAAGCCAGAUGUUCAUUACAGCAGCAGUUCCCCUUACCUGUGAAUUUAAUUUCUGAGACAAGCUCAUUACAAUCAUUUCCUCUUAUCUGUGGAUUUCAGUACAUGCCACAUGAAAAGAUUAAAUGGAAAUCUCUAGAAAUAACAAAUUCAUGUUUAAAAUUUUGCACCAUUCUGAGUAGUGUGAUGAAAUCUCACUCCAUCUCACGCUUUCCCACUUGAGGAGUGAAUCAUGUCUUUGUCCAGCGUAUCCAUGCUGUAUAUUCUACCCUCCCAUUAAGUCACUUAGUAGCCCUCUCAGUUAUCAGACUGACUGUCACGUUGUGACAGAGCCUGUGUUAUAGUCUCUGUUAUUUUAUUUAAUAAUGGUCCCAAACAACAAGAGCAGUGAUUCUAGGAACUCAGACAUAUCAAAGAGGAGCUAUAAAAUGCUUCAUUUAAGUGUAAAGGUGAAAGUUCCCAACUGAAUGAGGGAAGAAGAGGGGCUGGUGUUGUGGAUCAGUGUGUAAGCUUCUGCCUGAGAACUGGCAUCCCACAAUAGAGUGCCAAUUCAAGUCCUGGCUAGUGCACUUCCAAGCCAGCUUCAUGCUAGCAUGCCUGGGAAGGCAACAGAACAUGGCCCAAGUACGUGGGCCCCUGCCACCCAUGUAAGAGAUGUGGAUGGUGUUCCUGGCUCCUUGUUUCAGCCUGGUCCAUCCCUGACUCUUGUGGCAAUUUGGGAAGUGAAUCAGUGAACGGGAGACCUCUCUCUCUCUCUCUCUUUCUCUUUCUCCUUCUCUCUUUUACACUCUGCCUUUUGAAUAAAUAGUCCUUUAAAAAAUAAUAAGGGAAGAAU
rnacentral:lncRNA from 1 species